GACGUAGGGAGCGAGCGUUGUUCGGAUUCAUUGGGCGUAAAGGGCUCGUAGGUGGCUUUGUAAGUCGGAGGUGAAAUCCCACGGCUCAACCGUGGACACGCCUUCGAAACUGUGAAGCUUGAGGCUGGGAGAGGAAAUCGGAAUUCCUGGUGUAGCGGUGAAAUGCGCAGAUAUCAGGAAGAACACCCGUGGCGAAAGCGGCUCUCUGGAACGGUACUGACGCUGAGACGCGAAAGCGUGGGGAGCGAACAGG
rnacentral:rRNA from 1 species